rnacentral:lncRNA from 1 species
AUGGCAUAUUUGCAGCAGAAUGGCAUCCAGAAAUCAUUGUAAUUGUGCCAGUAUUUCAUGCGCUUAUUUAAGAGUAUUUUCUGUUCAAGGAUUUCAAAACACUUCUCUAAUGGUACGGAGAAAAGUCAACAUGGUAGAGAAGUAGGGGGACUCAAAUUUCCCUUGUCUCUCAAACACAGCAAUGUUGAGGCCAGAAGACUUGGAAUUCCAGGAAUGUGGACUACAAAUGACAGAAACAUCUCCAGGGGCCAUGUGGACAACUUGGCAGGCCAUAGCAAGCUGGGGCAAGUUCAUCUAACACCUCCUUUGAAGACCAGCAGAUGUUUCAUAAAGGGUCUAUACGUGGGAGGUCUAAGUACAGAGCUUGACUGUGAACUUUCAUCAAGCAUGGAUCUGCUCAGUAACAUGUGAAGCAAGAACUGUCAUUGUCCCAGGAACAUGCAGCAAAGACCAAAGAUUGGGUGAAACUCUUUUCCUUCCCUUCCCCAGAGUGGUGCUCUCAUAAUAAAUCAAUUCUUGCUUUCA